GCCCGUGUUAUAGAGCUUGAGCUGAGUGUGGACCAUUUCUUUCAUACCAGGCUACACACAAUGGGUUCAAAGGUCUAUGAGAAAGAAGAGAAGCAAGGGGAGGUCUGGUCGUUGGAGAGGAGGAGGGGAAUCUUCAAAAGCACUGACCUUUGCCAUCAUCUCCAAGCCCUUCACUUGACUGAUAGCACCUCUUUUGCUCUGGCUGCCCAGAGCCUGGGUCUAUGGGAGGGAGGCAGAUGUCAGGGCACAGAACCAGAGAGAGCAAGCAGCAGGAAGAGAGGUGCUAAGACGGCAAGCGAGGGAAGCAUGAGGUGGUAGCAAGGUGGCAGCCACUAUUCUGACCCCAGCAGGGAUGAGACCCCCCAGGCUCGCCAGCUCUCCAGUUCCUGGUCUGCUGCAGCGCCGGGUGUGGCCGGGAGCGCUAGGACCCGGGAGGGCGGCCUCCUCCUCGGCCCCCGCACCUCAUCCCCCGACCCCGGGGCCCCAGCGGGCGGGGCCGGAGGCGGCAGGCCCCGCCCAUGCCCGCCCCCGGCCCCGCCUCCCUCCCUCCCUCCCUGGCGGGCUCUGGCCCCGGCUCCUUCUCGGCCGGCUGCGGGUGCCCCAGCGCAGCCCCGCUCCGCAGGUGCCGCCGCCGAAGAUGCCGUUCCUGCGGGUCCUGGCGCUGCUCAAGGCCGCCUUGGCCGCGCCGAGCCAGGUAAGGAGCCCCGGGGGCUGGAGGGGCCGGAGCCCCCGCCGCGGCGGGCAGGGAGAAGCCUCAUCGCUGGUGGG
rnacentral:lncRNA from 1 species